GUGGUAUAAGUGUCCCCCUCUUGAAGGAUGUGCAUGGGAAAUUAAACAUUGCUCAGCAACUAUCAGACAGAAAGGGCAAAAGGCUAACUUCAGUCUUCUCAAGCAGUUAAUCAACAAACAAACUUCAACAAAAGGAAGGUCCUGGAAAUCCUCUCUGGCAAAGUGACAAUGUUUCUACAAAGAAUACCUACUGCGGCAAGUGUAUAAAGAGGAAGCGGCUUUAUAAACCUGGGAUGUAGCAUUCAACUCAACAUUGUUUUCAUCUCGCCUCAAACGCAGACUCCUAGAACAAUGGAAGUUGGCAGUUUUAAAUAUAGCAUUGCACAGACACAUGCCUGCACGUAUGUGUGCAGGAUGGAAAGGUCACAAAGUAGCACUUCUGGUCUUAUGCCUACAGUAUUUUUUUCCUCUUGUGGCUGUAUGUAUCCUUGAAGCUUCCACGUUCCCAUUCUUCCAACAACCGGCCCUCAGGUAGAAAUACACAAACAAGCCCACCACUUAACUCUUAAAAUCCAUGGGGGAUUGUCAUCACAAAAGCACAGUAUUGAUGUUUGUUUUCAUUGUGACCUAUAAGGCAAAGAUAAUCUAUGGCAUGUCCUUAGCACAUUCUUCCACCACAAGAAUGAGUCUCAGUCACAGGGUCAGAAGUGUGGGAGCAUUGAUAGAGACCACUUUCAUCAGCAGUCAAACUGCUCAUUUUAUGCACUACACCUAAUGGACAGGGGUAUCAUUUAUGAAGGGUAAUGCCU